rnacentral:rRNA from 1 species
AACGCGAAGAACCUUACCCGGACUUGACAUGUACCUGAUCGGUGUGGAAACACGUCUUCCCUUCGGGGCAGGUACACAGGUGCUGCAUGGCUGUCGUCAGCUCGUGCCGUGAGGUGUUGGGUUAAGUCCCGCAACGAGCGCAACCCUUGUCCUUAUUUGCCAUCAGUUCGGCUGGGCACUUUAAGGAGACUGCCGGUGAUAAACCGGAGGAAGGUGGGGAUGACGUCAAGUCCUCAUGGUCCUUACGUCCGGGGCUACACACGUGCUACAAUGGUCGGUACAGAGGGUUGCAAGGCCGCAAGGUGGAGCCAAUCCCAGAAAACCGGCCUCAGUUCGGAUCGGAGUCUGCAACUCGACUUCGUGAAGUUGGAAUCGCUAGU